GACGCACCAGGCCUGGUCUCUAGCCUGUGGAUACUUGCAUCCCUGGGGAAGCCCUCAGAGACCCUGACAAAGUGAAGGGACCCCUGAAAACUCCAGGACAGAGUGGGGACGCUGAGCCAUGAACUGAGGCCCUGAGAUCUGCUAAUGAAGUUCAGAGCGGGGCUGAUGGGACCCAUACCUGCUGAGCGGUUGAGCUAGGACUCCUGGUUGGUUAUUUCCUUCUGAAGACCCGGGAUCUCAGGUGAGCUAGAACCCAAGGGCAGUGCCCGUGCCUACUGUCUCUACCGCAGAGGAGCCCAGCACACAGAGGUCACCAAGCACAGGAUGAAGGGAUGUGCUAUACACGGAGGAGACAUUGGGACUGAAGAUGAGGGGUGUGUCACGUCUGAGCCUGAUGAGGGAGCCACAUGUGGAUAAGACCAUGGUAGAGGAGUCACCUGGGGCAUCCCUCAGGAGCUCUCUCAACUGCAAACAUCAGCUGGAACUGCCCCCCACCCAUCAUUCCCACACCCCUAAACCAGGGGGUCAGCUCCCCAAACUGGUGCUAGCUCAGACGUGCUCCCAACAGAGCAGCCUGAGGCUGAACUGCAGUCCUAGCUCAGUUCUUAGCUGGCUUUGUGACUUUGGCUCCCUGUGCCUCAGUUUCCCUCGACAACCGUGAGGACACAUCCUGGCGAGCGCAUGGCAAGUGCACGUGUGCCCUGAACAGUGGCACGGGGUACCUGCAUCUCAGCACUCAAGAGCUGGCACGCGGUGGGCCGCCAAACGCCUUUCAAAGAACUGUACCUUUCAAAACACAGGUACUUAGGACUGGGGGGCUUAGGUUCUGCAGCUAUGGGAUACGUGGCUGAAAUAGAACAGAGUUGGGCUGCUCUCUCUCUCUCUCUCUCUCUCUCUCUCUCUCUCUCUCUGUGUGUGUGUGUGUGUGUGUGUGUGUGUGUGUGUGUGUGUGUGUAUGUGUGUGUGUGUGUGUGUGUGUGUGUAGCGUAUGUACAGGGUGGGUAGUGUGCCGAUGCACCAGCACAGAGCCCAGAAGAGGACAUUAAGUGUCUUCUUUCCCUUCCCACCUUAAUCCCUGGAAACAGAGUCUCUCACUGAACCUGGAGCCCCAUUAUUGGACAUCAACACCAACAAACCUCCCGUCUCCACACGCCCCAGCAUUGGGUUUAUACGUACACACAGCUAAGUCCAGCUUCUUACAUGGGUGCUGGGGAUUCGAACUCAGACCCUGUGCUUGCUGGGCAUCUGGAGUUAGGGGAUGCCCUGUGGCUUCCUG
rnacentral:sRNA from 1 species